rnacentral:snRNA from 1 species
GUGCUCACUUCGGCAGCACAUAUAUUAAAAUUGGAAUGACACAGAGAAAGAUUAGCAUGCCCCCUACACAAGAAUGACAGGCAAAUUCGUGAAAAUGGUCCAGAUCUUU